rnacentral:lncRNA from 10 species
CCUCUCCCCGCCCCCCAUCCCGCGGGCCCCACCGACUCCGGAGCGCCCGCCCCGCCCGCUGCCGCCACCGGGGCCGCCUCGCCCCCGCGCCAGCCCGCCGGAGCCUCUGCGCCGCCGUCGGCUUCUUAAAUGCAGGAAAGGGAGGGGACCGCAGGACCCCGGUGUCCCCACCCUAGUCCCCCUUCCCCACGGGCCUCCGGGCGCCAGCGGAGUGGGCAGCGAGCGCGACCGAAAGUUCCAACUCCACCAAAGUCCUGCGCGCGGCCCACCCCGUUCCCGGAUUUCGGGGAUGACACGGGGGCCAGUGGCCCUGUCUGAUGUGAAGCGUCAGCACGGAUGGCCUCCUGGAGCUUCCCCGAGUCUUUCGCUGGGGGAAGCGGGCGGUGAGCGGCCGGCCCGGGGCGCUCCGCGGGCCGCGAGCUCCUGGCAGGGCUGGUGGCGGGGGUCCGCCUGGGGGAGGAAUCCCCGCCUGCUCCAUCGGACCCGGCCUGGCGCGGCUCGCGGCGCUCGGCGGGCUGCCUUCCAUUCUAGAAUCUUCCCGCUUGCUUCCCAGCCCGAGUUCUCCCGCCCGCCUUUAAUUGUAAUUUACAGGACUAAAGAGUUUGGGGAAGUCGCAGAGCCGCAGCGGAAAGGCAGGGGUCUGAGACUACUUUCGAGAGGAGAAACAACGCAAAACGAUCGCUGGACGGCCAGAGCCCUGGUCGAAGGUGUGGACCUGGGGAGGAUCUUCUAAGUCCCUCCAGCGAAGGCAAGUGUGAGACUCUGGCCCUUUAUUUGUAAGAAGCAAGCCUUCAGACUGCAGAAGUGUCGCGCGGGUCGCCGUGCGUUGCGCGAGUGGGAAGAUGGAGGAGGCCGGCACGGUGCUUUCGUGGACGCAAGUGAACCGGGCGUGAAGGCAGGGUGCAAGCUCUGCCCUUGGCCCAGCCCGGCGUGGGUGCCGUCCCAGAUUCCGGGCGGUGCGGGGUGCAGAGAUCUGGAGAGAGUUGCGGGCUCCCCAGCGCAGGCUGCUCUGGGAUUUCGUUGGAAGAUCCGGUAGAGCCUUGGAGGAGAGGGCCGGGGAGGCUGUGUGUGCAGCGGAAGCUUGUACGAAUGCCCCCACAGCUGAAAUGGUGCGCACGAGUAAUUUCUGCGGCGCACCCUUUUAAACAUUGACUGAAGUGAACAAGAUCAAUUUUUUAAAAAAGCAAAAGUAGAAAAUAAAAGGCGUGAGACUUCUUGACUGGCUUGUUCCCGCCUUUCUUCCUUCCCUAUACUCAGAUCAGAAACUUUAAUUGCUCUUAUUCAGUGCGACAACUUUUAAUAAAAGCGUUUGCAUCUUAAGCCCGAGUUGCAACCAUAGAUUUAUUGCGAAGUGACAACGUGUCCACGGAAUAUUUUCGCAGAUGACACAGGACGUGCGCUCUGGUCCUGCCCAGAUUAAAGGGACGCUGGGCCAUGUGCCUGUGUGGGUGUAGACUCGGAGGGGCACACACCUACUCGUCAUCACAUGACCACUGUCUAUUAAUAUUGUCAUACCUAAACACUCGCAAAAACAAAAGUUGCUUUUCUUCCCUGUAAUUAAAUCUAAUUUGUUAAUUGUCUUUCCUCUUGCAAUGUUGUUUUCAUCUUAAGAGGUGACACAUUAUUAUUUUGUCUGUCUAAUAUUAUUUACAAAUUAAUGCUGUAUAUUUUACAUUAGUGAAACAUAUAAUUAGGUGUUUGGUUCAAUCGGUA